rnacentral:rRNA from 1 species
CCUACGGGAGGCAGCAGUGGGGAAUAUUGGACAAUGGGGGGAACCCUGAUCCAGCGACGCCGCGUGAGUGAAGAAGUAUUUCGGUAUGUAAAGCUCUAUCAGCAGGGAAGAAAGAAAUGACGGUACCUGACUAAGAAGCCCCGGCUAACUACGUGCCAGCAGCCGCGGUAAUACGUAGGGGGCAAGCGUUAUCCGGAUUUACUGGGUGUAAAGGGAGCGUAGACGGCGAUGCAAGUCUGAAGUGAAAGGCGGGGGCCCAACCCCCGGACUGCUUUGGAACCUGUAUGGCUGGAGUGCAGGAGAGGUAAGUGGAAUUCCUAGGGUAGCGGUGAAAGGCGUAGAGAUUAGGAGGAACACCAGUGGAGAAGGCGGCUUACUGGACUGUAACUGACGUUGAGGCUCGAAAGCGUGGGGAGCAAACAGGAUUAGAUACCCUUGUAGUC